rnacentral:rRNA from 1 species
UACGUAGGGUGCAAGCGUUAAUCGGAAUUACUGGGCGUAAAGCGUGCGCAGGCGGUUUUGUAAGACUGUCGUGAAAUCCCCGGGCUCAACCUGGGAAUUGCAUUUGUGACUGCACGGCUAGAGUGUGUCAGAGGGGGUAGAAUUCCACGUGUAGCAGUGAAAUGCGUAGAGAUGUGGAGGAAUACCGAUGGCGAAGGCAGCCCCCUGGGAUAACACUGACGCUCAUGCACGAAAGCGUGGGGAGCAAACAGG